GGUAUAAGUGUUAUCUAAACGCU
rnacentral:snRNA from 1 species